rnacentral:misc_RNA from 1 species
UGGUGGUGGUGGUGGUGCUGCUGCAGUGUUACAUUAAACUGCACCUGCAUGAUUCAGAUUCAACCAGAAAUUUCAAUUGCAUCCACAUAAAUAUUACUAUCCAUUAUUUAUUUAUUAUCAUAUAUGUCAAAUUUCACUAACACCUAAAAUAAUAGAAAAUUGUCACUUCCCCUUUCCAUCUUUCGUUUCUGUAGAAUUUGAAACCAUCUUACUCUACACAAUUUAAUGACUGAUUGUCAUUAUAGAUUAACAGUACAAUUAUUGUUUAUUUAUCUAUCAGUGCUUCAUGCUAGAAAAUUAAAAUCCUCGCGUGUACAAAUAUCUAUCUUUGAUUUUUUCCAUAAUGCAGGGAAAAAAGGGAGAGUG